rnacentral:snoRNA from 1 species
GGAGCAGCUGUGAUGAGCAUUGCUUUCUUCUGACACCUCUUGUAUGAGAAGUGCUUCUCCCAGAGAAGCUCUUCGUUGAGCAGAGUAUAGCAAUUGUCUGAGCUCUCCU